CAAUAGCGUAUAUUAAAGUUGUUGCGGUUAAAAAGCUCGUAGUUGGAGUUCUGCCAGGUGACGCUCGUCCGCCCAAGUGGUGUGUACAGGGCGUGCAUCUGGCCCUUUCAAGGGGAACGUGUCUGCACUUUACUGUGUGGUGCGAGAUCCUUGACUUUUACUUUGAGGAAAUCAGAGUGUUCCAAGCAGGCUCUCGUCGUGUAUAGCUCAGCAUGGAAUAAUAGCAUUGGACUUCGUUUCUAAGCUGUUGGUUGCAAGAAGCGAGGUAAUGAUGAAGAGGGAUAGUUGGGGGCAUUCGUAUUUGACUGUCAGAGGUGAAAUUCUUAGAUUCGUUGAGGACCAACCACUGCGAAAGCAUUUGUCAAGGAUGCCUNCAUUA
rnacentral:rRNA from 1 species